rnacentral:rRNA from 1 species
GACGAACGCUGGCGGCGUGCUUAACACAUGCAAGUCGAACGGUAAGGCCCUUCGGGGUACACGAGUGGCGAACGGGUGAGUAACACGUGGUGAUCUGCCCUGCACUUCGGGAUAAGCCUGGGAAACUGGGUCUAAUACCGGAUAGGACCAUGGACUUCACGGUUUGUGGUGGAAAGCUUUUGCGGUGUGGGAUGGGGCCCGCGGCCUAUCAGCUUGUUGGUGGGGUAAUGGCCUACCAAGGCGACGACGGGUAGCCGGCCUGAGAGGGUGUCCGGCCACACUGGGACUGAGAUACGGCCCAGACUCCUACGGGAGGCAGCAGUGGGGAAUAUUGCACAAUGGGCGCAAGCCUGAUGCAGCGACGCCGCGUGAGGGAUGACGGCCUUCGGGUUGGUUAAACCGUCUUUCAUAGGACGAAGACGCAAGUGACGGUACC